rnacentral:rRNA from 1 species
UGCCAGCCGCCGCGGUAAUACAGAGGGUGCGCGCGUUAAUCGGAAUUACUGGGCGUAAAGGGCGCGUAGGUGGAUAAGUGUGUUGGAUGUGAAAGCCCCGGGCUCAACCUGGGAAGGCCAUUCAAAACUGCUUGUCUAGAGUGCAGUAGAGGGAAGUGGAAUUUCCGGUGUAGCGGUGGAAUGCAUAGAUAUCGGAAGGAACACCAGUGGCGAAGGCAGCUAUCUGGGAUACAACUGACGCUGAGGUACGAAAGCGUGGGGAGCACACAGGAUUAGAUA